rnacentral:rRNA from 1 species
GAGGACGACGCUGGCGGCGUGGAUUAGGCAUGCAAGUCGAACGGUAUCAUCCUUUCGGGGGUGAGAGAGUGGCGAACUGGUGAGUAACACGUAGGUUAUCUACCUCAAGACGGGACAACCCAGGGAAACUUGGGCUAAUACCGGAUGUGAGCAACUUUUAGUUGUUUGAAAGGUGGCGUAAGCUGUCGCUUGGGGAUGAGCCUGCGUCCUAUUAGUUAGUUGGUGAGGUAACGGCUCACCUAGGCAAUGAUAGGUAGGCGGCCUUAACGGGUGGUCGCCCACACUGGGAUUGAGAUACGGCCCAGACUCCUACGGGAGGCAGCAGUCGAGAAUAGUCUACAAUGGUCGGAAGACUGAUAGUGCGACGCCGCGUGAACGAUGAAUCCCUUCGGGGUGUAAAGUUCUUUUAUAUGUGAGCAGUGCUUCUUAUAUUAACAGUAUGGGGAGAGAGAUAUUAGCAUAUGAAUAAGCAACGGCUAACUCCGUG